rnacentral:lncRNA from 1 species
AAAAAUAUCAUUAAUAAUUCCUAUGUUCCACAACUUUGUCCUACUUUCUUUCUAGGCUGGACCUGAUUGUUGUUAACUCUCCUUAAACGGAAAGCUCAAACACAUUACUCCCAGGACUUUGGUUCAGCAGUGACAAUGCAGCACAUGAUGUGUUGGUCAGGCACACUUCACGGGUUCCAACCCUGUCGUAGACAAAGCCUGUUAUUUAAGUUGGAAAAUGGUGGAAGACGGGGCAAUCUCCCUGAAGUUUCAAACAUGCGCGCCAACUGGAGUCUUGCGACUCUUGCCAGAAGCCCAAUGAGAGUUUUUCCGAGAAAAAUCCCACAAAAGUCUUCAAGGCCCCAAUUCUGCUAGUCUCUGUUCAGCUUUAUCCUUUUUUUACUCUUUCCCCAGACAACUCCAUAUAUGUCUGAGUAUGUUCCAAAACAAUAUUAAAUAACUCACAAUUGUAACUCUUCUUAAUACUCAGGUCAAAUCAAAGUGGACCGGCAUAUGUAGUAGAAAAUUUAUGGUUCACAUGUAUGUCUUCUAAAGCCAUUGAACUAAUAUAUCCAUUGAUAGAAAUUUUCUGUAAGGACCUUUCGGGCACUGUCUUAUAUAUCCAUCCAACUUCCACUACAAAGAGCUAAAAAUUGCAAAAGUGAUGGGCUAAGUGCUUGCAAUGUACUUUGAGCUACAACUCGUAAUGGUGGCUAAGGGACAUGGAACAAAAACCUAUACUAAAGUACUACAGUAGGGAUAAUGUUGUUAAAGACGCGCUUGAGGCAUGCUUAAUCCUUGAAGUAGGUAAAACAGAAGGGUGUUUUCCCUAACUUGGGAAUGCUUCACCAAGGUACUAAGUUGAAUGUCUUAACGAAAACAUCCAUCAAAGCUUCCUUGAUCAAAAAAAAAAUAACAACCAAAGUCUUUUUUUUAAAAAGUAAAAAAGGUGAAUCUCAAGGUCCAUGAGCUCUAUAAGGUGGCACUAAACAGCAAAGCAAUAAAUUAUUUGUUAAGAAACCUUAGGGACAUAUAUGUUGGUGAUUAAAGACAUAAACAAAAUCUUAAUAUAAGAAA